rnacentral:misc_RNA from 1 species
AAACAUCAUCCCAUCGGGUUUCCGAUGACGAUGGAUCUGGGUGUUGCCGUCUACCGGCUCGCCUCAAAAGAGUUAGCGGUUCCACGAGUCGAAUCUGGCGUAAUAAGUUUCGCUGGCCGAGAUCCGGAGGAUUGCUCAUAACCCGUCUUCUGACAACUUUUUG